rnacentral:tRNA from 2 species
GGGCUGGUGGCGGAAUAGGCAGACGCACCUGAUUUAGGUUCAGACGCUUCGGCGUGAGGGUUCGAGUCCCUCCUAGCCCACCA